rnacentral:rRNA from 1 species
GAUGAACGCUGACAGAAUGCUUAACACAUGCAAGUCAACUUGAACUUCGGUUUGGGUGGCGGACGGGUGAGUAACGCGUACAGAACUUGCCUCACAGAUAGGGACAACAUUUGGAAACGAAUGCUAAUACCUGAUAUUAUGAUUAUAUGGCAUCGUAUAAUUAUGAAAGCUAUAUGCGCUGUGAGAGAGCUUUGCGUCCCAUUAGCUAGUUGGAGAGGUAACGGCUCACCAAGGCGAUGAUGGGUAGCCGGCCUGAGAGGGUGAUCGGCCACAAGGGGACUGAGACACGGCCCUUACUCCUACGGGAGGCAGCAGUGGGGAAUAUUGGACAAUGGACCAAGAGUCUGAUCCAGCAAUUCUGUGUGCACGAUGAAGUUUUUCGGAAUGUAAAGUGCUUUCAGUUGGGAAGAAAAAAAUGACGGCACCAACAGAAGAAGUGACGGCUAAAUACGUG